rnacentral:rRNA from 1 species
UUAAGUUAGAAAGGGCGCACGGUGGAUGCCUUGACACUAGGAGUCGAUGAAGGACGGGACUAACGCCGAUAUGCUUCGGGGAGCUGUAAGUAAGCUUUGAUCCGAAGAUUUCCGAAUGGGGAAACCCACAUACGUAAUGGUAUGGUAUCCUUAUCUGAAUACAUAGGGUAAGGAAGACAGACCCAGGGAACUGAAACGUCUAAGUACCUGGAGGAAGAGAAAGCAAAUGCGAUUUCCUGAGUAGCGGCGAGCGAAACGGAACAUAGCCCAAACCAAGAGGCUUGCCUCUUGGGGUUGUAGGACAUUCUAUACGGAGUUACAAAGGAACGAGGUAGACGAAGCGACCUGGAAAGGUCCGUCGUAGAGGGUAACAACCCCGUAGUCGAAACUUCGUUCUCUCUUGAAUGUAUCCUGAGUACGGCGGAACACGUGAAAUUCCGUCGGAAUCUGGGAGGACCAUCUCCCAAGGCUAAAUACUCCCUAGUGAUCGAUAGUGAACCAGUACCGUGAGGGAAAGGUGAAAAGCACCCGGAAGGGGAGUGAAAGAGAUCCUGAAACCGUGUGCCUACAAAUAGUCAGAGCCCGUUAAUGGGUGAUGGCGUGCCUUUUGUAGAAUGAACCGGCGAGUUACGAUCCCGUGCGAGGUUAGGCUGAAGAGGCGGAGCCGCAGCGAAAGCGAGUCUGAAUAGGGCGUUUAGUACGUGGUCGUAGACCCGAAACCAGGUGAUCUACCCAUGUCCAGGGUGAAGUUCAGGUAACACUGAAUGGAGGCCCGAACCCACGCACGUUGAAAAGUGCGGGGAUGAGGUGUGGGUAGCGGAGAAAUUCCAAUCGAACCUGGAGAUAGCUGGUUCUCCCCGAAAUAGCUUUAGGGCUAGCCUUAAGUGUAAGAGUCUUGGAGGUAGAGCACUGAUUGGACUAGGGUCCUCAUCGGAUUACCGAAUUCAGUCAAACUCCGAAUGCCAAUGACUUAUCCUUAGGAGUCAGACUGCGAGUGAUAAGAUCCGUAGUCAAAAGGGAAACAGCCCAGACCGCCAGCUAAGGUCCCAAAGUGUGUAUUAAGUGGAAAAGGAUGUGGAGUUGCUUAGACAACUAGGAUGUUGGCUUAGAAGCAGCCACCAUUUAAAGAGUGCGUAAUAGCUCACUAGUCGAGUGACUCUGCGCCGAAAAUGUACCGGGGCUAAAUACACCACCGAAGCUGCGGAUUGAUACCAAUGGUAUCAGUGGUAGGGGAGCGUUCUAAGGACAGUGAAGUCAGACCGGAAGGACUGGUGGAGUGCUUAGAAGUGAGAAUGCCGGUAUGAGUAGCGAAAGACGGGUGAGAAUCCCGUCACCGAAUGCCUAAGGUUUCCUGAGGAAGGCUCGUCCGCUCAGGGUUAGUCAGGACCUAAGCCGAGGCCGACAGGCGUAGGCGAUGGACAACAGGUUGAUAUUCCUGUACCACCUCUUUAUCGUUUGAGCAAUGGAGGGACGCAGAAGGAUAGAAGAAGCGUGCGAUUGGUUGUGCACGUCCAAGCAGUUAGGCUGAUAAGUAGGCAAAUCCGCUUAUCGUGAAGGCUGAGCUGUGAUGGGGAAGCUCCUUAUGGAGCGAAGUCUUUGAUUCCCCGCUGCCAAGAAAAGCUUCUAGCGAGAUAAAAGGUGCCUGUACCGCAGACCGACACAGGUAGGCGAGGAGAGAAUCCUAAGGUGUGCGAGAGAACUCUGGUUAAGGAACUCGGCAAAAUGACCCCGUAACUUCGGGAGAAGGGGUGCUUUCUUAACGGAAAGCCGCAGUGAAUAGGCCCAAGCGACUGUUUAGCAAAACACAGCUCUCUGCGAAGCCGUAAGGCGAAGUAUAGGGGUGACACCUGCCCGGUGCUGGAAGGUUAAGGAGAGGGGUUAGCGUAAGCGAAGCUCUGAACUGAAGCCCCAGUAAACGGCGGCCGUAACUAUAACGGUCCUAAGGUAGCGAAAUUCCUUGUCGGGUAAGUUCCGACCGCACGAAAGGUGUAACGAUUUGGGCACUGUCUCAACCAGAGACUCGGUGAAAUUAUAGUACCUGUGAAGAUGCAGGUUACCCGCGACAGGACGGAAAGACCCCGUGGAGCUUUACUGUAGCCUGAUAUUGAAUUUGGUACAGUUUGUACAGGAUAGGCGGGAGCCUUUGAAACCGGAGCGCUAGCUUCGGUGGAGGCGCUGGUGGGAUACCGCCCUGACUGUAUUGAAAUUCUAACCUACGGGUCUUAUCGACCCGGGAGACAGUGUCAGGUGGGCAGUUUGACUGGGCGGUCGCCUCCUAAAGUGUAACGGAGGCGCCCAAAGGUUCCCUCAGAAUGGUUGGAAAUCAUUCGUAGAGUGC